rnacentral:rRNA from 1 species
AAAUCUUACCGGGUCCGGACACACUGAGGAUUGACAGGCAAUAUUAAAAAUUAUUAUUUUAAUUUUUUUCGAAAAAUUUUAAUAUAUUUUUAUGUUAAAUAUGCUAGUCCUUUCAUGAUUAUGUGAUAGGUGGUGCAUGGCCGUUCUUAGUUCGUGGAGUGAUCUGUCUGCUUAAUUGCGUUUCACCUUAGGGCUUAUAAAUUACGUGUGUUGCGGCACUUUGACCCCUUUGUUGAAACAUACGAAGCGCGCGUCUUAGUUGCUUAGCACACACAAUUAAGUCCUGAAAGCAACGAACGUGACCGCAACCUCUUGUUGCCCUUUGUACAAUCUCGAGUAUUCGCUAUGGGUAUAAUUUAUUGUAUUCCACUGUGUAAUAUUUUGGGAAAAAGAGGCUUUUAAACUAGAGGGACCGCUGUAACUUUUUUAAACCAGAGGAAGGUUGCGGCAAUAA